rnacentral:rRNA from 1 species
GUGAGGAAUAUUGGUCAAUGGGCGAGAGCCUGAACCAGCCAAGUCGCGUGAAGGAAGAAGGAUCUAUGGUUCGUAAACUUCUUUUGCAGGGGAAUAAAGUACGGUACGUGUACCGUUUUGUAUGUACUCUGCGAAUAAGGAUCGGCUAACUCCGUGCCAGCAGCCGCGGUAAUACGGAGGAUCCAAGCGUUAUCCGGAUUUAUUGGGUUUAAAGGGUGCGCAGGCGGGUUGAUAAGUCAGCGGUGAAAGUUUGCAGCUUAACUGUAAAAUUGCCGUUGAAACUGUCGAUCUUGAGUGCAAAUGAGGUAAGCGGAAUGUGUUGUGUAGCGGUGAAAUGCUUAGAUAUAACACAGAACACCGAUUGCGAAGGCAGCUUACUGGGAUGCAACUGACGCUCAUGCACGAAAGCGUGGGGAUCAAACAGGAUUAGAUACCCUGGUAGUCC